ensembl:misc_RNA 7SK 7SK RNA
GGACAUAAGGACCACCUGGCUGUGACGGGCCACCCCAUCGGUGGCCAGGGUUGAUUCAGCCGCCCUGACUGGCUGGGCAGGUGUCCCCCCCUCACUGUUCCGUGUACAUGUCUCCUAGAGUUGUGUGCCGGGCCAAAGAAGAUGCCCUUCCCCAGGAGAAAAGGACCUUCUUCAGCAAGGGGUGGCAGUAGCUGCUCCCUGCUAGGCCCUCCCACAGACUCCCGAGGUCCAGCUAGCAAGGCCACUUCUUCACACAGUUGUUCAAGGGGAGUGACCAUU